GACGAACGCGGGCGGCGUGCUUAACACAUGCAAGUCGAACGGAAAGGCCCUUCUUUUUUGGGGUGCUCGAGUGGCGAACGGGUGAUUAACACGUGAGUAACCUGCCCUUUACUGUGGGAUAACUUCAGGAAACUGGGGCUAAUACCGGAUAGGAGCUCCUGCUGCAUGGUGGGGGUUGGAAAGUUUCGGCGGUUGGGGAUGGACUCGCGGCUUAUCAGCUUGUUGGUGGGGUAGUGGCUUACCAAGGCUUUGACGGGUAGCCGGCCUGAGAGGGUGACCGACAACAAUGGUACUGAGAUACGGCCCAGACUAGUACGGGAGGCAGCAGUCGGGAAUAUUGCACAAUGGGCGCAAGCCUGAUGAAGCAACGCCGCGUGAGGGAUGACGGACUUCGGGUUGUAAACCGCUUUAGCCUGUGACGAAGCGUGAGUGACGGUAAUGGGUCAAGAAGCACCGGCUAACUACGUG
rnacentral:rRNA from 1 species